GCGUGAGUGGUUUAGUGGUAAAAUCCAUCGUUGCCAUCCGCAAGAUUACCUCGAUGGGUCCCGUGUUCGAUUCACGGCUCACGCA